rnacentral:sRNA from 1 species
UAUCGCCUUUUUGUCGAGUUUUGUACGC